rnacentral:rRNA from 1 species
UUAAGCGACUAAGCGUACACGGUGGAUGCCCUGGCAGUCAGAGGCGAUGAAGGACGUGCUAAUCUGCGAAAAGCGUCGGUAAGGUGAUAUGAACCGUUAUAACCGGCGAUGUCCGAAUGGGGAAACCCAGUGCAAUUCGUUGCACUAUCGUUAACUGAAUACAUAGGUUAACGAGGCGAACCGGGGGAACUGAAACAUCUAAGUACCCCGAGGAAAAGAAAUCAACCGAGAUUCCCCCAGUAGCGGCGAGCGAACGGGGAGCAGCCCAGAGUCUGAAUCAGCUUGUGUGUUAGUGGAACGGUCUGGAAAGUCCGACGGUACAGGGUGAUAGUCCCGUACACCAAAAUGCACAGGCUGUGAACUCGAAGAGUAGGGCGGGACACGUGGUAUCCUGUCUGAAUAUGGGGGGACCAUCCUCCAAGGCUAAAUACUCCUGACUGACCGAUAGUGAACCAGUACCGUGAGGGAAAGGCGAAAAGAACCCCGGCGAGGGGAGUGAAAAAGAACCUGAAACCGUGUACGUACAAGCAGUGGGAGCACCCCUUUUGGGUGUGACUGCGUACCUUUUGUAUAGGGUCAAGCGACUUAUAUUCUGUAGCAAGGUUAACCGUAUAGGGGAGCCGCAGGGAAACCGAGUCUUAACUGGGCGUUAAGUUGCAGGGUAUAGACCCGAAACCCGGUGAUCUAGCCAUGGGCAGGUUGAAGGUUGGGUAACACUAACUGGAGGACCGAACCGACUAAUGUUGAAAAAUUAGCGGAUGACUUGUGGCUGGGGGUGAAAGGCCAAUCAAACCGGGAGAUAGCUGGUUCUCCCCGAAAGCUAUUUAGGUAGCGCCUCGUGAACUCAUCUUCGGGGGUAGAGCACUGUUUCGGCUAGGGGGUCAUCCCGACUUACCAACCCGAUGCAAACUACGAAUACCGAAGAAUGUUAUCACGGGAGACACACGGCGGGUGCUAACGUCCGUCGUGAAGAGGGAAACAACCCAGACCGCCAGCUAAGGUCCCAAAGUCAUGGUUAAGUGGGAAACGAUGUGGGAAGGCACAGACAGCCAGGAUGUUGGCUUAGAAGCAGCCAUCAUUUAAAGAAAGCGUAAUAGCUCACUGGUCGAGUCGGCCUGCGCGGAAGAUGUAACGGGGCUAAACCAUGCACCGAAGCUGCGGCAGCGACACUAUGUGUUGUUGGGUAGGGGAGCGUUCUGUAAGCCUGCGAAGGUGGCCUGUGAGGGCUGCUGGAGGUAUCAGAAGUGCGAAUGCUGACAUAAGUAACGAUAAAGCGGGUGAAAAGCCCGCUCGCCGGAAGACCAAGGGUUCCUGUCCAACGUUAAUCGGGGCAGGGUGAGUCGACCCCUAAGGCGAGGCCGAAAGGCGUAGUCGAUGGGAAACAGGUUAAUAUUCCUGUACUUGGUGUUACUGCGAAGGGGGGACGGAGAAGGCUAUGUUAGCCGGGCGACGGUUGUCCCGGUUUAAGCAUGUAGGCGGAGGUUCCAGGUAAAUCCGGUACCUUUUAACGCUGAGGUGUGAUGACGAGGCACUACGGUGCUGAAGUAACAAAUGCCCUGCUUCCAGGAAAAGCCUCUAAGCAUCAGGUAACAUUAAAUCGUACCCCAAACCGACACAGGUGGUCAGGUAGAGAAUACCAAGGCGCUUGAGAGAACUCGGGUGAAGGAACUAGGCAAAAUGGUGCCGUAACUUCGGGAGAAGGCACGCUGAUAUGUAGGUGAAGCCCCUGCGGGUGGAGCUGAAAUCAGUCGAAGAUACCAGCUGGCUGCAACUGUUUAUUAAAAACACAGCACUGUGCAAACACGAAAGUGGACGUAUACGGUGUGACGCCUGCCCGGUGCCGGAAGGUUAAUUGAUGGGGUUAUCCGUAAGGAGAAGCUCUUGAUCGAAGCCCCGGUAAACGGCGGCCGUAACUAUAACGGUCCUAAGGUAGCGAAAUUCCUUGUCGGGUAAGUUCCGACCUGCACGAAUGGCGUAAUGAUGGCCAGGCUGUCUCCACCCGAGACUCAGUGAAAUUGAACUCGCUGUGAAGAUGCAGUGUACCCGCGGCAAGACGGAAAGACCCCGUGAACCUUUACUAUAGCUUGACACUGAACAUUGAGCCUUGAUGUGUAGGAUAGGUGGGAGGCUUUGAAGCGUGGACGCCAGUCUGCGUGGAGCCAACCUUGAAAUACCACCCUUUAAUGUUUGAUGUUCUAACGUAGACCCGUGAUCCGGGUUGCGGACAGUGUCUGGUGGGUAGUUUGACUGGGGCGGUCUCCUCCCAAAGAGUAACGGAGGAGCACGAAGGUUAGCUAAUCCUGGUCGGACAUCAGGAGGUUAGUGCAAUGGCAUAAGCUAGCUUGACUGCGAGCGUGACGGCGCGAGCAGGUGCGAAAGCAGGUCAUAGUGAUCCGGUGGUUCUGAAUGGAAGGGCCAUCGCUCAACGGAUAAAAGGUACUCCGGGGAUAACAGGCUGAUACCGCCCAAGAGUUCAUAUCGACGGCGGUGUUUGGCACCUCGAUGUCGGCUCAUCACAUCCUGGGGCUGAAGUAGGUCCCAAGGGUAUGGCUGUUCGCCAUUUAAAGUGGUACGCGAGCUGGGUUUAGAACGUCGUGAGACAGUUCGGUCCCUAUCUGCCGUGGGCGCUGGAGAAUUGAGGGGGGCUGCUCCUAGUACGAGAGGACCGGAGUGGACGCAUCACUGGUGUUCGGGUUGUCAUGCCAAUGGCAUUGCCCGGUAGCUAAAUGCGGAAGAGAUAAGUGCUGAAAGCAUCUAAGCACGAAACUUGCCCCGAGAUGAGUUCUCCCUGAGACUUUAAGUCUCCUGAAGGAACGUUGAAGACGACGACGUUGAUAGGCCGGGUGUGUAAGCGCAGCGAUGCGUUGAGCUAACCGGUACUAAUGAACCGUGAGGCUUAACCU